AUUGAACGCUAGCGGGAUGCUUUACACAUGCAAGUCGAACGAGUGGCGGACGGGUGAGUAAUAUAUCGGAACGUGCCCAGUCGCGGGGGAUAACUACUAGAAAUAGUGACUAAUACCGCAUACUCUUGGAGCGGCCGAUAUCGGAUUAGCUAGUUGGUUGGGUAAAGGCUCCCAAAGGCAAAGAUCCGUAGCUGGUUUGAUAGGCCGACCAGCCACACUGGGACUGAGACACGGCCCAGACUCCUACGGGAGGCAGCAGUGGGGAAUUUUGGACAAUGGGGGAAACCCUGAUCCAGCCAUCCCGCGUGUAUGAGAAGGCCGUCGGGUUGUAAAGUACUUUUGGCAGAGAAGCGGUAUCUGCAGAAUAAGCACCGGCUAACUACGUGCCAGCAGCCGCGGUAAUUC
rnacentral:rRNA from 1 species